GAAAAAAAAACGGCAUAUAGGUUAAGUUAAAGAAUAAGCUGGGCGUUUUAGCACGCUAAAGUAAAUCUUGCAAUGGCUUGAUCUAAUUGACAGAAAGAAGACUUGGGCUGUGCUGUGGUACAUUUUUUAUCUGGGGAAUAUUUGGACACUCCAAGUUACUCCUGGCCUUUGGAGCUUCAACUCAUUAACUCUGUAUCUUGUGAAUAUGAACUUAAAUGGUAUCUUGUGAAUAUGAGGGAUGAAGGCAGUCACACUUUUUUCCAUUCAAGUAUACUCAAGUCCCAAGGAAGUAAUUAAUCCCCAAACAGGUCUUAUUUGUUAACAUAUUAAAACUCUUGCAUUUAAUUCUCUCAUAGGAAAGCCUCUAAGUCUUGUCCUCUAAGCUUUUUAAUAAUAAUUUAAGUCAUUUUAGCAAUCUUAAUUAGUUUGUAAGCCUCCUGCAGAUCAGAAGCAGUAAAGGAGGAAGAGGGCUGCUCUAACUUGGUGCACUGAGAGUAAAGAGUACCUUCAAUGUGUUUGCUUAUGUUGAGGCUACUCCCUCUCUGAAAAUGUUUUCUUCCCUACCAAGGAAACUCUUUUGGCUCUAGAGGUUUGCUUCAACUGUCAUCAUUUUCGUAUACCUUCUCCAAAUCUUAUUUAUCAAGGCCCCUUUCUUUGCCCAGCACCUGGAAUCAAUUGAUUUUCUGUAUCUGCUUAUCUGUCUCUCAAGUUUUGGGGGCAGCAACCUGCCCUAUGAAUUCAGCUUUCUGGUAAAUCUAUGUAAAGUUAUUGAUUUUCAGUUCACUCAUUCUUGUUGUAAAGACAAGUGUGAUGUUUUUCAAACUCUUUAUGUGUCAGCCUGAAAGCUCUGGACAUUUGUAGAGGAUCUCCCUCAAAUACUCAAAAGAUCAGCUCAUGUGUGUGAAGAAAAUGCCCAAAGCUGAGAUAAAACCGUAAGAACAGAGAACAGUAGCCAGGUCCUUUCUAGUUACCCACCAUUUUUCAAUGUGGAAUCUCUUUUUUUUCUUUCCAGGGAGAUGGAGCUCCAUAUUGAUGUCAUCAAACUCCCUCCACAGGGCUCUGUUAGGACCCUUCACAGUAACUGUGUGUCGCUUGAGAGGGAUGUGGACAUCUUCUGGAAUGUUGUGAGUCUGAUUGCUGAGAAGGUCUUCAUUCUUGUAGUAGAUGUGGCAGAGACUUUCUGUCUAUAUUAUCAGGCACUUGUUGAAUCCUUUGUUAUUGUUAAUAUAUGUCUUUCUUCAAACUGGGAAAUUAAAAACAUUUUUUAAAUUUGUAA